GCAUAUCAAUAAGCGGAGGAAAAGAAACCAACCGGGGAUUGCCUCAGUAACGGCGAAGUGAAGCGGCAAGAAGCUCAAAUUUGAAAGCUGGCUCCUUCGGGGUCCGCAUUGUAAUUUGCAGAGGAKGCUUCGGGUGCGGCCCCUGUCUAAGUGCCCUGGAACGGGCCGUCAGAGAGGGUGAGAAUCCCGUCUGGGAUGGGGUGUCCGCGCCCGUGUGAAGCUCCUUCGACGAGUCGAGUUGUUUGGGAAUGCAGCUCUAAAUGGGUGGUAAAUUUCAUCUAAAGCUAAAUACUGGCCGGAGACCGAUAGCGCACAAGUAGAGUGAUCGAAAGAUGAAAAGCACUUUGAAAAGAGAGUUAAAAAGCACGUGAAAUUGUUGAAAGGGAAGCGCUUGCGACCAGACUCGCCUCCAGGGUUCAGCCGGCAUUCGUGCCGGUGUACUUCCCUGGGGGCGGGCCAGCGUCGGUUUGGGCGGCCGGUCAAAGGCUCCCGGAAUGUAGUGCCCUCCGGGGCACCUUAUAGCCGGGAGUGCAAUGCGGCCAGCCUGGACCGAGGAACGCGCUUCGGCACGGACGCUGGCAUAAUGGUCGUAAACGACCCGUCUUGAAACACGGACCAAGGAGUCUAACAUCUACGCGAGUGUUCGGGUGUCAAACCCGUACGCGCAGUGAAAGCGAACGGAGGUGGGAGCCCCCUCGUGGGGCGCACCAUCGACCGAUCCUGAUGUCUUCGGAUGGAUUUGAGUAAGAGCGUAAAUGUGGGGACCCGAAAGAUGGUGAACUAUGCCUGAAUAGGGCGAAGCCAGAGGAAACUCUGGUGGAGGCUCGCAGCGGUUCUGACGUGCAAAUCGAUCGUCAAAUUUGGGUAUAGGGGCGAAAGACUAAUCGAACCAUCUAGUAGCUGGUUCCUGC
rnacentral:rRNA from 1 species